rnacentral:snRNA from 1 species
GGAUCGAGAAGGAGGUCAUAAUGACAAAGCCAACGAUGCCACUUGCCGUCAGAGCACGAAGAGAGAGGCACAACGACAGGGACAGCG